rnacentral:rRNA from 1 species
UACGGGGGGGGCAAGCGUUGUUCGGAAUUACUGGGCGUAAAGGGCUCGUAGGCGGCCAAUUAAGUCGGAGGUGAAAUCCCUCGGCUUAACCGGGGAACUGCGUCUGAUACUGGAUGGCUUGAGUUUGGGAGAGGGAUGCGGAAUUCCAGGUGUAGCGGUGAAAUGCGUAGAUAUCUGGAGGAACACCGGUGGCGAAGGCGGUUGCCUGGAGCUUUGCUGACGCUGAUGCGCGAAAGCGUGGGGAGCGAUCCGG